rnacentral:rRNA from 1 species
CGCCCUUUGAGUUUGAUCCUGGCUCAGAUUGAACGCUGGCGGUAUGCUUAACACAUGCAAGUCGAACGGUAACAGGCAGAAGCUUGCUUUUGCGCUGACGAGUGGCGGACGGGUGAGUAACGCGUAGGUAUCUGCCUAGUAGUGGGGGACAACUUGGGGAAACCCAAGCUAAUACCGCAUACGCCCUUCGGGGGAAAGUGGGGGAUCUUCGGACCUCACGCUAUUAGAUGAGCCUGCGUAAGAUUAGCUAGUUGGUGAGGUAAAGGCUCACCAAGGCGACGAUCUUUAGCUGGUCUGAGAGGAUGAUCAGCCACACUGGGACUGAGACACGGCCCAGACUCCUACGGGAGGCAGCAGUGGGGAAUAUUCGGCAAUGGGCGCAAGCCUGACCGAGCAAUGCCGCGUGUGUGAAGAAGGCCUUCGGGUUGUAAAGCACUUUCAGUUGUGAGGAAAGCAUAAUGGUUAAUACCCAUUAUGUGUGACGUUAGCAACAGAAGAAGGACCGGCUAACUCCGUGCCAGCAGCCGCGGUAAUACGGAGGGUCCGAGCGUUAAUCGGAAUUACUGGGCGUAAAGCGCACGCAGGCGGUUUGUUAAGCUAGAUGUGAAAGCCCCGGCUCAACCUGGGAAUAGCAUUUAGAACUGGCAGGCUAGAGUCUUGGAGAGGGGAGUGGAAUUUCUGGUGUAGCGGUGAAAUGCGUAGAUAUCAGAAGGAACAUCAGUGGCGAAGGCGACUCCCUGGCCAAAGACUGACGCUCAUGUGCGAAAGUGUGGGUAGCGAACAGGAUUAGAUACCCUGGUAGUCCACACCGUAAACGCUGUCUACUAGCUGUUUGUGGAUUUAAUCCGUGAGUAGCGAAGCUAACGCGAUAAGUAGACCGCCUGGGGAGUACGGCCGCAAGGUUAAAACUCAAAUGAAUUGACGGGGGCCCGCACAAGCGGUGGAGCAUGUGGUUUAAUUCGAUGCAACGCGAAGAACCUUACCUACUCUUGACAUCCAGAAGAUUUAGCAGAGAUGCUUUAGUGCAUUCGGGAAUUCUGAGACAGGUGCUGCAUGGCUGUCGUCAGCUCGUGUCGUGAGAUGUUCGGUUAAGUCCGGCAACGAGCGCAACCCACAUCUUUAGUUGCCAGCAGUUCGGCUGGGCACUCUAAAGAAACUGCCCGUGAUAAGCGGGAGGAAGGUGUGGAUGACGUCAAGUCCUCAUGGCCCUUACGGGUUGGGCUACACACGUGCUACAAUGCAGUGACAAUGGGUUAAUCCCAAAAAAACUGUCUCAGUUCGGAUUGGGGUCUGCAACUCGACCCCAUGAAGUCGGAAUCGCUAGUAAUCGCGGAACAGCAUGCCGCGGUGAAUACGUUCCCGGGCCUUGUACACACCGCCCGUCACACCAUGGGAGUUGGUUUCACCAGAAGUAGCUAGCUUAACCUUCGGGAGGGCGGUUACACGGUGGGGUUCAUGACUGGGGUGAAGUCGUAACAAGGUAAC